UAUCUCUGUAGAGUCUGCAUAUCAAUAAGCGGAGGAAAAGAAACUAACAAGGAUUCCCCUAGUAACGGCGAGUGAAGCGGGAAGAGCUCAAAUUUGAAAUCUUAAAGGGUUUCCCUUUACGAAUUGUAGUUUAAAGAAGUGUUUUCUGUUGAGGUUUUGGUAAAAGUUCUUUGGAAUAGGACAUCAUAGAGGGUGAGAAUCCCGUAUUUGACCUCUACUUUCAACUUUGUGAUACACUUUCAAAGAGUCGGAUUGUUUGGGAAUGCAGUCCAAAAUGGGUGGUAAAUUUCAUCUAAGGCUAAAUAUUGGCGAGAGACCGAUAGCGAACAAGUACCGUGAGGGAAAGAUGAAAAGAACUUUGAAAAGAGAGUUAAACAGUACGUGAAAUUGUCAAAAGGGAAGCGUUUGACACCAGUGUUGUUUUUCUGAGAAUCAAUUAAAGAACUGUUUAUGCUAAGUUGUUUAGACUUUAUCAGCUAACUGUUUAGUUUUGAGCUUUUCUUUAAUGCACUUUUCAGUUAACAAGUCAACAUCAAUUUCUUUUGCUGUAAAAAAGCUUGAGGAAGGUGGCUUGAGAUUCGUCUUAAGUGUUUAUAGCCUCUUGCCUAUGCAGUCGGAGAGAUUGAGGUCUGCAGCGUAGAUCCUUCGGGGUUAGAUACAUUUGUGCUAAGUUAUAGCCUUUCAGUAGACAACUUGUUGACUACGAUCAGUCAUGUAGCUUACUCGCUUAUGCUAUUUUACCUACGCUUAGGAUGUUGACGAUCAGCUGAGCGCG
rnacentral:rRNA from 1 species